rnacentral:tRNA from 5 species
UAUCCAGCGGUGUUAGGGCACUAAGAAUUUUGAUUUCUUAAGAGAGGUUCAACUCCUCCUGAU